UGCCUGACUCUUCACGAACCCGUAGACUGCAGCCCACCAGCUCCUUUGUUCAUGGAAUUCUCCAGGCAAGAAUACUGCAGUGGAUUGUCCUUUUCUUCUCCAGGAUAUCUUCCUGACCCAGGGGUUGAACCCAGGUCCAUCUGAGCCACCAGUAAGCCCCUCUUUUGAACCAUCUGCCUCUUGCUCUGAUUAACUGCUCCAGGCCCUCAUGAGCCCUGUGUUAUUUAAGCAUCGUGUUUACAUGCAGUUUUAUGGUGAAAAGUGUUAACUCCCUAUGGCAGUGGCUUUAACACCAGAAACCUUCAGUUGGGUUCCUUAGUCAUUGGUCACAAGUUAUCCUUCAUAGGUCCUUCUCAGGAUGGAAAAGGCAGCAGGGAGACACUUUCCUUCUAAAUUCACAUCUAGAUCAUGGUCUUUCUCCCUUCUCUAGCCUGUACAGCACAGCAGCUUUCCUAUUUGAGAGGGCGUUUGUGGACUUACUACACGGAGCUCAGGCAAAUCGCAGCACUUGGCUGGCUGGGCCCACGUGAAACCUGUCAGAGGUCAGCAGGCCCUUCCUGUAGACUCACCUCUGAGGGUCAUACACCUUUUCAUCUCCUGUGAUGCUUUCAUCCUUGGUCCUCUGUCUGAGGAAGGAGGGGUCUCUCCGGCUGGGCCCCUGGAGCCCCCAUCUGUGGCUUCUGUGUAGCAUCCAGUGACCCCAGAGCCCAGGCUGAGCAGGCAGUGCUACUUGGUGGGGCUGGCUGAGCUCACCUGGGUGGGGACUCCCUUUCCUGCACUUCUGUCUGGGCUCUGUGCUUGCCCAUCCCACCAUCCACACUAAUUCCUGUUUUAUACCACUCUCCCUUCCCUCCUUCAGGGCCACACAAUCUUGGGUGUUCGGACUGCUGACGCCCAUGGAAUGCGGAAGGAUGCCUUGAUUGUGGGGAAUCUCUGAUGGUUCACGCUGUUUUGUUUUUUUUUUUUUUUUCACGUAAGGGUUGACAUCUUUAUUUUUAAAAUUUGUAUUGGAGUAUAGUUGCUUUAUAAUACUGUGUUGGUUUCUGCUGUUCAGAAAAGUGAAUUGCCUAUAUAUAUUCCCUCUUUUAUUGGAUCUCCUUCCCAUUUAGGUAACCACAGACCAUUUAGCAGAGGUGAUGGUUCACACUUAAAUCCCGAUCCCAGGGCAAUUCUCUUGUAUUGUUAGGGCUAACUUUAGACGUUUCCAUUAACAGUGAAACCUACUAUCAGAAUACUCCAGAGGUAGGGGGCAAAAACCUCUCAAUUUGGGGUCAAAUUACAAGUUAAUAAGCAAAGUUGCUAAAGAGCUCUGAAACCUUGGUUUAGGGGCUAAAGAGGAAAUACUUGAAGCCAAGGGGGACGGUGUCUGGUGCUCAGUUGCCCAUAUUUACAUCUGACUCCUUCCACUGAGGGUCUCACCUCAAUUCACAGUCUUGUUUUCAGGAACUG
rnacentral:lncRNA from 1 species